GCUAGCUCAGUUGGUACAGCAUGAGACUCAAUCUCAGGGUUGUGAGUUUGAGCCCCACUCUGGAGGGACG